UACGUAGGGUCCGAGCGUUGUCCGGAAUUACUGGGCGUAAAGAGCUCGUAGGUGGUUUGUCGCGUUGUUCGUGAAAACUCACAGCUCAACUGUGGGCGUGCGGGCGAUACGGGCAGACUGGAGUACUGCAGGGGAGACUGGAAUUCCUGGUGUAGCGGUGGAAUGCGCAGAUAUCAGGAGGAACACCGGUGGCGAAGGCGGGUCUCUGGGCAGUAACUGACGCUGAGGAG
rnacentral:rRNA from 1 species